GAUCAUUACCGAGUUAGGGUCGCCCCGCGCGCCCGACCUCCAACCCUUUGUCUACCCGACCUUAUUGUUGCUUCGGCAGGCCCGCCGCCCCUCGUGGGUGGCCGCCGGGGGCUUAACAGCCCCGGGCCCGCGCCUGUCGACGGCCCCAACCACAAACUCUUGUACUUAAACGUGUCGUCUGAGUUAACAAACAAAAUAAAUUAAAACUUUCAACAACGGAUCUCUUGGUUCUGGCAUCGAUGAAGAACGCAGCGAAAUGCGAUAAGUAAUGCGAAUUGCAGAAUCCGUGAGUCAUCGAAUCUUUGAACGCACAUUGCGCCCUCUGGUAUUCCGGAGGGCAUGCCUGUUCGAGCGUCAUUAUCACCCCUCAAGCCCGGCUUGUUGUUGGACGCGGCGGCGCCUUUGCGCCCCGCCCGUCUCAAAGAUAAUGACGGCGUCUGCGAGGACCCCUGUACACUGAGCUUUCGGGCACGUACUAGGUGUGGAAUCCAGACCCGGUCACCGUCCCUCAGGGACAAACUUUUAACCAGGUUGACCUCGGAUCAGGUAGGAAUACCCGCUGAACUUAAGCAUAUCAAUAAGCGGAGGAAAAGAAACCAACAGGGAUUGCCCUAGUAACGGCGAGUGAAGCGGCAACAGCUCAAAUUUGAAAUCUGGCCUUCGGGUCCGAGUUGUAAUUUGUAGAGGAUGCUUUUGGUGCGGUACCUUCCGAGUUCCCUGGAACGGGACGCCAUAGAGGGUGAGAGCCCCGUCUGGUUGGAUACCAAUCCUCUGUAAAGCUCCUUCAACGAGUCGAGUAGUUUGGGAAUGCCGCUCUAAAUGGGAGGUAUAUGUCUUCUAAAGCUAAAUAUUGGCCAGAGACCGAUAGCGCACAAGUAGAGUGAUCGAAAGAUGAAAAGCACUUUGAAAAGAGAGUUAAAAAGUACGUGAAAUUGUUGAAAGGGAAGCGCUUAUGACCAGACUUGGGCUUGGUUGAUCAUCCUGGGUUUUCCCUGGUGCACUCUUCCAGUUCAGGCCAGCAUCAGUUCGUCGCGGGGGAUAAAGGCUUCGGGAAUGUGGCUCCUCCGGGAGUGUUAUAACCCGUUGUGUAAUAUCCUGCUUUGGACUGAGGU
rnacentral:rRNA from 1 species